UACGGGGGGGGUAAGCGUUGUUCGGAAUUACUGGGCGUAAAGGGCUCGUAGGCGGCCAACUAAGUCAUACGUGAAAUCCCUCAGCUUAACUGGGGAACUGCGUGUGAUACUGGAUGGCUUGGAUUUGGGAGAGGGAUGCGGAAUUCCAGGUGUAGCGGUGAAAUGCGUAGAUAUCUGGGGGAACACCGGUGGCGAAGGCGGCAUCCUGGACCAAUAUUGACGCUGAGGCGCGAAAGCCAGGGGAGCAAACGGG
rnacentral:rRNA from 1 species